UGGGGAAUUUUGGACAAUGGGCGAAAGCCUGAUCCAGCAAUGCCGCGUGUGUGAAGAAGGCCUUCGGGUUGUAAAGCACUUUUGUCCGGAAAGAAAUCCUUGGCUCUAAUACAGUCGGGGGAUGACGGUACCGGAAGAAUAAGCACCGGCUAACUACGUGCCAGCAGCCGCGGUAAUACGUAGGGUGCAAGCGUUAAUCGGAAUUACUGGGCGUAAAGCGUGCGCAGGCGGUUUGCUAAGACCGAUGUGAAAUCCCCGGGCUCAACCUGGGAACUGCAUUGGUGACUGGCAGGCUAGAGUAUGGCAGAGGGGGGUUAGAAUUCCACGUGUAGCAGUGAAAUGCGUAGAGAUGUGGAGGAAUACCGAUGGCGAAGGCAGCCCCCUGGGCCAAUACUGACGCUCAUGCACGAAAGCGUGGGGAGCAAACAGGAUUAGAUACCCUGGUAGUCCACGCCCUAAACGAUGUCAACUAGUUGUUGGGGAUUCAUUUCCUUAGUAACGUAGCUAACGCGUGAAGUUGACCGCCUGGGGAGUACGGUCGCAAGAUUAAAACUCAAAGGAAUUGACGGGGUCAUAGCUGUUUCC
rnacentral:rRNA from 1 species